rnacentral:rRNA from 1 species
GUAGGUGGCAAGCGUUGUCCGGAAUUAUUGGGGCGUAAAGCGCGCGCAGGCGGUUCUUUAAGUCUGAUGUGAAAGCCCACGGGCUCAACCGUGGAGGGUCAUUGGAAACUGGAGAACUUGAGUACAGAAGAGGAAAGCGGAAUUCCAUGUGUAGCGGUGAAAUGCGUAGAGAUGUGGAGGAACACCAGUGGCGAAGGCGGCUUUCUGGUCUGUAACUGACGCUGAGGCGCGAAAGCGUGGGGAGCAAACAGGAUUAGAUACCCUGGCAGUCCACGCCGUAAACGAUGAGUGCUAAGUGUUAGGGGGUUUCCGCCCCUUAGUGCUGCAGCUAACGCAUUAAGCACUCCGCCUGGGGAGUACGGCCGCAGGGCUG